GUGACAGAAGAAAAUGCUUGAAGUUCCCAGAGCCGAAUUCCCCAAACUUCAGUACAAAUGACAACUAUACAUUAACAAAAGCAAGCUGAACUCAGAGUCUUCCAGAUUCAUCCCGAAGAUGGGCCUACUUUGGACACCUGUGUAAACUGUCUCAAACUGCGUUAUUUCCUGGUGUGAAUUUCUGAUAUGAGAGUGAUCUGGUGGGAUUUCAGGGUUUACAGAUCAGUACUGCUCCCCAUGUUAUUAAAACAACAACAAAACAGGUUAUUUGUGGGUAACUGAAAUAAUACCUAGUUAGCUUUUGGGGUGACCAAAUGUUAAUUUAAGCAAGGGGCAUAGUUCUGGCCGCUUUUCUUUGUUGAAAAAAAAUGAAUGAAUAGCGAGCCCAUUAAAAACCUUCCUCUAUCAGAGCCUAGCUGUGGAGAAACUUACUUAAUGGAUCUGCUGAUAAUGACUUUGCAAAGAACCACUACUGUUAUUUUGUCAUAUACUACCCUGUCUCAGAUGUCUUUACUGUUAGGGUAAAGACACCCUAAUCUACUGUUAGGGUAAAGACGCCCUCACCUUAAUCCAGAGACUCAUCACCUUCUACCAAAGCUACUAUGACAACUUCCUGGCUAGACUUCUGCCUGCAGCCUCAUGUAUAUCCUAGUUCACGGUGGGUCUAGCUGGCUCAGAAAUCAUCCUAAAAGGUCAUGUUCAUGCUAUUAAUCCCUUUUCAAGGACUUGCAGUGGCACCCCACUGUUGAUCUCAUUAGGUUAAAACACCUUAUUCUCUGCAUCAGUAUGAGUACACCCUCUCUGCUCUGCCCAAAUUGGAACAGCCUGGAGCUUUUAUUUAUGCUCUUCCAUCAUUUUUUUUUGGGGGGGGGUCAAAUUUUUACCCAUCAAGCAAUUUGGCAAUAUGUACUGGGUCUUAAUUUUUUCCUACUCUUAAGGAAACAAUUCUUCAUAUAGAAACUCAUUUCAUGUACAAAGAUGGCCAUUACAGUUACUUAUAUACUAUAUAGUUAAAAGUUACAACUUAAAUGUUUAGCAAAGGAGAAAGAAUUAAGUGUGGUCCAUUUAUAAAACAGACAUAUAAAUGACAUUGUUAACACAGCAUAAAGAAUUAAUGUAAAAAAAAAUACUUAUGUUCCAACAGAGGAGAAAAAAAAAUUGAAGUCUGUAUAGAGCAUGAGCUCAAUUAAAAAAUAGGGAAGAACUUUUAGAAAUACAUAUUCCAAAACUGUCAAGAGAGGUUAUCUAUGGAUGGCACGAUUAUGGGUUACUUCUAGUUUUUUGUUUUUCAUACUUUUUCAGUGAUAUUUUAAUCAAAACAAUGUACUUUUUUCUUUUUAUAUCUUUUAUUGCUUUUGUUUCUGAUAGUUAAGGUAAUUCAUACCUAUUGUUAAAAUUUCAGACAAUAUAGAAAUACAUACAUUUUUAAAAAAUAAAAAUCACCUAUAAUUUCAAUAAAAGAAUCACCUAGUGAUA
rnacentral:lncRNA from 1 species